GCCUCCCCAGGUCUUCAUCCCUGACCUGUCACAUUCAGCCUCCCCAGGUCUUCAUCCCUGACCUGUCACAUUCAGCCUCCCCAGGUCUUCAUCCCUGACCUGUCACAUUCAGCCUCCCCAGGUCUUCAUCCCUGACCCAGUCACAUUCAGACUCCCCAGGUCUUCAUCCCUGACCUGUCACAUUCAGCCCCCCCAGGUCUUCAGCCAUGACCCAGUCACAUUCAGCCUCCCCAGGUAUUCAGCCCAGACCCCGUCACAUUCAGCCUCCCCAGGUCUUCAACCCUGACCCCAUCACAUUCAGCCCUGACCUGUCACAUUCAGCCUCCCCAGGUAUUCAGCCCUGACUCCGUCACAUUCAGCCCCCCCUCCCAGGCCUUCAGCCCUGACCCCGUCCUCUCCUGCCCAAAAGAGAAGACCCCCAAGGAGGACAAAGCUACCAUCAUGGAUCCCAAUUCCCAUCCUCUCUAGCAAACAGGUAGCACUAUGCCCACGGUCGGGUGGUAACGCUCUCAGCUCCAGGCACAUGUACUGAUACCUACCGGAUCCCAGGGUUCAGUCCCUGUGUCUUCCUUCCAUCCCCUACUUUCCUAUACCCAGCUCUGAUUCCAGGGUUCAGUCCCUGUGUCUUCCAUCCAUCCCCCUACUUUCCUAUAUCCAGCUCUGAUUCC
ensembl:lncRNA